GCAGCUUGUGAUGAGGAUGUCUCCCACUCACAUUCGAGUUGCCCGACUGUGAGAUGACCCUACAUGCACUACCAUCUGAGGCUGC